CCCUCAGGGUGCUUUUCGAGUCUCCCAUCGAGGCGGAGAUCGCCCAAGGAUUCCUGGCUAUUUUCGACGAAUACCCCAGCAUUGACAGGGAGCUCACCAUGACCGGCAGCAUUCUGGUUGUGACAUGGAUUGUGGAAGAUCCUGGACAACUCCAACCAGUGCUCACUUCCUUCCUUAACGACCUUAUCCUUGUCUUCAACAUCAUGAACUUCUUGGGGCCCCCAUCUCCCUUCGUUUCUUCGUAGGAAGGGAGGGCUGAAGCCACUGUGGCCCAUGCCAGACAGCACAUUCUUCACUAGGCUCUGGUUCUUGCAUUAUUUGCCGUGUUCUCAGAUCCCCAAAUUUUCUGCCUCUGCUAGUUAAUCAUUGGGUGCUUCUGGCCUGCUUGUUUUGUUUCCCUGUUGGUGGGCAGACGAUGUGAUUAAAGGUGUGUCACUGUCAAAAAUAAAGCCGAGCAAUGACUCCA